AUGAAAAAAGCUUUUAAAUUUGUGAUGGCAGAAGACCACUCCAAUGAUAGUGAGGAUGAGGAGGACAUGGUUGGUGAACCAUUUGAUAGGAACUUUACCCUAUGUUCCCGGCAACGGCUGUCCUGUUUUGCUCACAGUCUUCAGCUAGUAGUGGGCGAUAGAUUAAAGGAGGUGAAGUGCCUUUCUCAAGCAAUGUCCAAAGUGUCAAAACUUGCAACUCUACUGCAUAGCAGCACAAUUUUCAAAGACAAGUUUGAGGCCGUCUUUGGCUAUGGCAAAAGCAUUCCAGUGGCCACUGUAACACGAUGGAAUUCCACCUUCAAGCAAAUACAGGCCAUUACGGAGCUGGAUCACACCACCUUGACAGAAAUGUGCUCUCCCGACUUUAAGAAUGUUGUCAUCACAACAAGAGAGUGGGCUCAGUUGAGAGAACUUUGUUUGAUUCUUGGACCUUUUGCUGAAGCAACUGAAUUAACAGAGGGAGAAAAGAUCAUCACAAUCAGCAUGGUUGUUCCAACAGUGCUUGACCUGAACACUCAUCUAAUUCAGAUAGAUUCGCCAAAGAGCCUCUGCAGGCCAUUGAUCAGAGCACUCCGGGAGUCACUCCAACAAAGGUUCUCAGGCAUCUUCAUUGCACUUCAUAUGGUAGAGCCUGAGGACCAUAGCUUUGAUGCACCAUUUAGUCAUGAAAUCUAUGCACAAGCUGCAAUGUUGGACCCUCGGUUUGGAAUGAGCUGGGUCGACAUGGAUGUGAGGGCCAGUGGCAGCACUGUUGCUAUAAAGAGACUAAGGGAGGAGGUGCGGAAGUCGCUGACAGACUGCUUGAUAGCUGAAGCAGAAAAGGCUGACCUGGAAAAUAUCCAUGCCAGAGAGGGACCUACAGCAGAACCACCUCAUUCUCCUCCAAAUUCCAAGAUUCCACGACUCCUGGCAAAGUAUAAAACUCAAAAAAAUAAACAUAGCACUCCCACUGAGGCAAGCAUUGUCACCCAGGUAAUGAAAUACUUUGAACACAUCCAGAGCUCUCCGAUAGAGGAGGACCCCCUUAUGUUCUGGGCUCACAACAAGGACAAAUAUGCACAUUUGCAUGCUCUUGCUCUUAAAGUGCUGUCUGUCCCUGCAUCUUCAGCACCAGUUGAAAGAGUUUUUAGUGCUGGAGGACUUCUUAUGAGGCCCCAUCGAGCAAGCCUAGGAUCAAAAAUGCUCUCAUCACUUAUAUUUCUCAAGUGCAACAAUGGACUUCUGUAAAACAGAAAAGAAUACUGAGAAUGUACAGUAUGAGGAUUAGAUGCAGAGCCAGUUCAGGUUAGGGUCCUGCUAUCCCAUACUUGCAUACAAUUCUGCACUAAAACUGUGUUGGUAAUCCCCUGGGGGAUUUUGAUUUGACUGGUACUCCUGAAUAUGUUAUAUAUUAUAUGGCCUAAGGCAAGCACACACACACGCGCGCACACACACACACACACACACACACACACACACACACACACACACACACACACACACACACACACACACACACACACACACACACACAUAGCUGAAGAUGUUCAUGUUUAUUAAUUUGUUUUUGUUGUUGAAAAUGCUCCUUUGGUUUAUAACAAGUAAUAAGUUCAAGAAUGGGCACAUUAUCAUUGCAGUCAUUUUGGAGUUAAAAUGUUUAGCAAAUUUUUGUGACACCUGUGUUGCUUUUUAUUUGUUACAUUUUUCAUUGGCAGCCCAGAAUGUUAUUGUUACACUAUAAUAUUGUUAUACAGUUAUUAUUAUUAUAAAGUAGUAUAAUAUAUAUAAUAUAUUAUAUAUAAUAUUGUAUAACAGUAUUGUUACACUAUAAUAAAAAGACUGAACAUGUGAAGUUGCA
ensembl:lncRNA